AUUUUGCAGGUUUAAAGCUGCAAAAUGAGGCUUCUCCUAUUAUUACUUGCAGCAACCAUCUGCUAUGUACAUGCCGACAAGUCACACAAGUUGCUGGCAGCUAUUAUAGCAGGCAUGAAUGGAGGAAUGUCAAAUGGAGUUAUACCCGUCAGGAUGGCUGGAGGCCUGAACCCUCCUGUGGUGGCUGUUGGUGGGACAGGUUUUGUCGGACAG